rnacentral:lncRNA from 1 species
CAGCACAGAGACCCACCCUGUGCCUUUACCUGAACUCCACCAACAUAAAAUUCACACACAGCGGAUAGUGGAUCUACUCUACUCUCCUCUACAAUACGGACAAUAUGAAUUUACUCUGCUCUUUCUUCAUUCUGGUCUGCGUAUGUAUUCACAGUGUACAGGGUGCUAUUGGUACGUCUCAGAUAAACUGCUUAAGUGGAAGUAAUGUUGAAAUCGGUACUGUUGAAGAGGAAUACAGCGGAGAUGUGGAGAUUGUCACUAAUAUCCAGCCGUCUGACGUGCUGGUUCUGGAACCGUACGCUUUUCCUAUUGGGCUGACGUUUGUGGAGCUCGUCCAUUCACCUGGAGCUCCGACCGCAACCAUCAGAACCACCAAACCUCUGGAUGCUGACCAGAUGAAGGAGGUGGGCACUGUGUAGAGUCAUUUUCCCAUAAAAUUAAAUACUGUAAUUCAUUUUCUCCAUUAAUACAUCUU